ACACACCCACGAAAGCAUGGCGUACAAUGAAGAGAGAGGUAGAGGAGAUGAGGAGGCAUUCUUCAGUAAAGAAAUUCCAUCAAAAGGCAGCUGGAAAUCAACUGUCAGUCGUUCAUACAGAUCACGUAAUAAGGGUAGCUAUGGUGACAGUCACCAAGAUGAUAUCGACACAUACAGACGAGAAAUGAAGAGACAAGCCCCUCUCACUACAGAUGAGAGCAGACAGAGUGAACGUCGUCACGGCGACCGGAGAAGAGAUGACGAGGGCAGGCACCACAGUCGAUCAGUCGAACACAAAUCAAAGAGAAAGAGCCAGAAAGAAACAACCAACCCAAAGAGAGAGAGAAAAGGACUAGAUCCCGGUUACCUAUUUACUCGACCCAAUCUCGUAGCCACUCGGAUAGAAGAGAGCCACGCCCACAAUACAGCCUCUCAGACAGUCAAUCAAAAAGUCAUUCAGGGGUGUGGUCUAGUUCACACAGACACACCCACUUACACAAGAGCGAGUAUGACAGAGGAAAAGGAGGGUCUGGCGGCAGACAUGAUGUCUAUCGUCUCAUUAGAGACUUAGAGAGUUCUUCUAGUGGUAGUGAUUCAGAUGAGGGUGUUGUCAGUAAAGAAGCCACACCCACUUGUUUAAAAGAUGAGACGGAGGAAUCAAAGAAAGAGUCACCAAAGAAAACAUGGAAAGAUAUAAUGUACUCUGAUUCUGAAGAGGAGGAGGGGGAGAGUCCUCUACGUAAGAGUGCCUCACCUCGGGAAAGCGACCAAUCAGAUUCAAGACUAGAUGAAGAUGACAUGAAGGAUGAUGCAGCUACCCCACCACUUGCUGAGUCGGCAGAAAAAGAGGAUGAACUAGCUCAGUGGCUGAGUCUGCAGUUGAGAUUAAAGCGUCUAGUGCUACCCACCAGGAGGGCCUGUCUUUUGUUAUGAAUGGUGGAAUAGGAUUGAGGAGGGGACUUAUGGUAUAGUGUUUAGAGCUAGGGACAUCAGAACAGAUGAGAUAGUUGCUCCGAAGAAGUUAAAGAUGGGAAAUGUUUCCUAUUAGAUCACUAAUUGAGAUCAAUGCUUUACAGUAUGUUCCUGACGUGGCCUGCUAAGAGUGAAAUGACUAAGAAAUCAGUGAGACCAAAGAGUCCGACAGCACCUGAAGGAGGAGCAUUCUUCUUUAACCAAAAGGGUAAAGAUGGUGAAGAUGAGAAGUUUCAGUUACCAGAUUUACAACCAGGGAAAGCUGGAUUUACUUCAAAAUUCUAACUUAGCCCCCUACCCUCUCACCUUUCUUAUUUUAAUGAAACUAUUUCUUUGUUAAAGAACAAUAGAGAUGUAAGUUGGACACAAAUAGGGCCUCACAUAGCCAGACUCCAAAUAAGAGUCUGGUGUCAUACCUACCCAAAUUACGAAAGGAAUGGAGUCUGGCUGUGCAAGAUUAGGACAAUAUCCCUUGAUAAUAAUCAAAGAUAGCAAGAAUAUAUACUACUAGUGAUAAAGGAGAAAGUCAGAAAACCCUAAGAAUACUAGUUAGCUACAAUUAUAUUGAAAUGGAACUACAGCAGACUAGAUAAAGAAAUCAUUAACAUUAAUUGUAAUUUUAGAGUUCAUCUUUUUUCAUUUUGUUUUGAGCAUCUUCAAUAGCUUCUAUUGGCUUCACUUCACUGAGGAAAUACCUGCUAGCUUUACUAAGGGAGAGCCAUUGAGCAUAGAGUGUGAUUGCUUGUUUUUGGAACAAAGGAGUCGCCACUGCUGCUUUAUCUGUAACUCUCUUUUUUAGAUCAACACAGUUGUUGCUUACAUCUUCCCAUGCUGUACUGACUGUCUGAAGUGUAACUGUAAGACCGUUGUAAUUACUAAUAAUGCCCUGAAGACCUUGAGCUGUA